UACAGAGGGUGCGAGCGUUAAUCGGAAUUACUGGGCGUAAAGGGCUCGUAGGUGGCCAACUAAGUCAGACGUGAAAUCCCUCGGCUUAACCGGGGAACUGCGUCUGAUACUGGUUGGCUUGAGAUUGGGAGAGGGACGCGGAAUUCCAGGUGUAGCGGUGAAAUGCGUAGAUAUCUGGAGGAACACCGGUGGCGAAGGCGGCGUCCUGGACCAACACUGACACUGAGGAGCGAAAGCCAGGGGAGCAAACGGGG
rnacentral:rRNA from 1 species